UAACCUGCCUGGUAGCGGGGGAUAACUAUUGGAAACGAUAGCUAAUACCGCAUAAUAGUAGAUGUUGCAUGACACUUACUUAAAAGGUGCAAUUGCAUCACUACCAGAUGGACCUGCGUUGUAUUAGCUAGUUGGUGGGGUAACGGCUCACCAAGGCGACGAUACAUAGCCGACCUGAGAGGGUGAUCGGCCACACUGGGACUGAGACACGGCCCAG
rnacentral:rRNA from 1 species